rnacentral:rRNA from 1 species
UACGUAGGGGGCAAGCGUUGUCCGGAAUUAUUGGGCGUAAAGAGCGUGUAGGCGGUCCGGUAAGUCAGCUGUGAAAGUCAAGGGCUCAACCCUUGAAUGCCGGUUGAUACUGUCGGGCUAGAGUCCGGAAGAGGCGAGUGGAAUUCCCGGUGUAGCGGUGAAAUGCGCAGAUAUCGGGAGGAACACCAAUGGCGAAGGCAGCUCGCUGGGACGGUACUGACGCUGAGGCGCGAAAGCGUGGGGAGCGAACAGG